GUGCAUAUUCCUUCUCGAUCGCAGCUCUCUUCUGACUGAAUGCUCUGAUAUCCUCAAGUAGCUCACAUUCUGCCUGAUGCUUGGCCUGCAGCUUUGUCAUCUGCUCCACCUGGAUGUUUUUCAGCUCCUGUGUAACUUUCACCUUCCUCGGCGGGGGCUGCAUGGUGCUGCGCGGGGUCUCCACAUCAAUUCCCCCCCCCGGCAGCAGGACGCGGCCCCCGCUGCAGGAGGAGGAGCGGGAGGAGGCGGCGAGAAGCGGGCGGCCGCCGUCUGCCUCCCGCUUCGGGCUGGGAGAACGAGGCGAAAGGAAACGAACGCGGCCGUCUCCCUCACGGCUCCGAGCGGGCGGAGAGCGGCGUCCCGAGCCGCGGCCCUGAGGAGCGG
rnacentral:lncRNA from 1 species